UUGUCAAAACACUUUCCAGACAAACUGUGUGGAAUCCGUGAACGCUAAAAAGUGUGUGUCACUCUCAUAUGUAUUAAAUACGAUAUUGAUUCCCAACUGGAUUCCCAAGUAAUGACUCCGUGACGCACUCCAGCCCACAAGGGGAAUGACAGGCAAAUUCAAGAGCUACUCCAAGUACUUCUAGCCAUCUUGGGGGGUCCUAUUCUGCUUCCGAGCCGAUGCUGUGUUCCGGAGCAUGCUAAUUGUUUGCAAUUAUGCUUUGAGCGAGCUUCACUUUGCAAUGAAAACGAAACGGAAUGGAAAUUUAAGAGGAAGAUUUUGUAAGCACAUUUCGUAGAGGAGGAAGCGGCACGUCAAUUGCAUUAAAAUGAUGAAAAUUCUCCCAGUGAAGAGCCACCACUUGAAACGGAAUUAGGUACGAGCAUUAACGGGAUCGACAGCAGCUGUGUUAUUUUACCGUCCAAUGCGAGGCGUGGAUAAUUUAAUGUUUUAUUCACACUCACACACACACACACACACACACAUGAACGCACGCAGCGAGGAGAGUAAAUAAAUAAAUGCCAACAUUUACUGUGCGAAACAACAACAAUAACACACACUCGUACUGGUAAUAAUUUAAGCGCAAAAGUGCUGCUUAAAAGCUAUUAACUGUGAUGUCAGAGAGCCAUCUGUACACCCUGGGAAAAGAGUGUGGGUGACUGUUUAUUUGGGAAUUGUUUCGUGAAAUUGGACCUCAGAUGUAAAGAUCAAUGAACUCCAUAUUGGGCUCAAGCUGCCGGAAAGAUGUUUAGCCGUUUCGGAUCCGCUAUAGAACCUUUUUGCAGUCAUUUGCAGGAAAAGUUUUAUCGCAGUGCAAGCUUUGAAUGUGGGUAAUGUCAAUCCAGAAUAGUAUACAGAAAUCUAAUAUACAAUUUUUGAAAGACUUAAAUUAUAUUAAAUUAUUAUAUCUAAUCCAAAUCAAGUUUGUUUAACCACAUUUUCUCACUGUAUGCAAAUGGCAUACCUGGAAUGGUUUGAAUGCUUUCCAAAGGACUGUGGCUAGAAAUGCGGUUUGUGCCUGUGCCGGAGGCACUUUGAGACAUUGUUGCAGACAGCACAAUGUGCAUAGAAUUACCGCACUUCAAGGCAGCAAGAGACAACAAUUAUUUUUUAUUUCAAAUGUGUUCCCACACACCCAGUGCUCUGGGGAAAUGGAAAAACAAAACGAGAGACAGCGCCAGCAGCGGCACCAGCAACGGCACCAGCAACGGCAGCCUCUGUCCAUUAUAAAGUUUAUCCGGAGAAGCGGAA